CCCCGGGCACGGCGGUGGCGGCUGUGGCCGGGCUCAGCUCUAGGGGCCGGGCCGGUGCUCCCGCGGCGCUGCCCAGCUCGGCGCCCGCGGACAAUGGCAGCCGCCCGCGCUCCGGAGGGUGAAGGAGGGGAGAGGAAAAAAAGUCCUUCGUCCUCAGCGGGAGAGACUUUAAGUGCGGCCCCUUCUCUGCCCCAGGGUGAGUGUCAGUGGCCCAGGUUCAGCCAAGCGCGAGGGCAGCCUUACCGCAUCCCUCUGCCCCUGGAAAAGAGAAAAGAGAAAAGAAAACGCCGCGUGACACCGCUGCACAGAUGCACGGCAUCAGCUGUGCCUCGCACGACUGCGAGAUGAAGAUGCAGCCUAUUCCGUGUGUAGGGCCUGAAUAGGAGAGUUAAAGAUUGUUAAGGGCUGAAGGGUGACUGUUGACCAUUGCCCUUCAAGUCUGCGUGAAUGCCGUGGUGCAGAAAUCCCACCUUGGCAGAAGGGCUUUGUGUUUUUACAAGCUGCACUCACAGUGGUAACAAUUGUUAUUGCUGAGGGAUGUGCAGCCCGAAGUGCUUGGUGGUCAUCCAGGGGUUACACAUUGUCACUGCUGGUGUGGUGAGCGCUGUUUGUCUGGUACUGCCUGACAAUAACCUUUGCACUUCAGAUGGUUACUUCUCUCCAUGCUGUGGCUCUGGUUUCUCAUACGCUUGUGUGACUCAAGACUGUUUUACUGUUUUCUUUUUCUUUCAUUGAGCAGUAAUAGCUCAGGUGUUCCUCAGAACAAAUCGAACUUAAACCUUCUACACCACUCUUUCCUCACUACCACAUUCAAGAAAGUCUUUCCAACCAAAUCAUUAAAAACUUCUUCUAUUCUGGAGAAAGAACUUGGGGAGGGUGGCCAUGGGCAGCAGCCAGGAGUCAGAAAGGCCACUCAGAAGUGCGGAGAAAUCCUAAUGUUACCUUGAAAUAACAUGGCAAAGGAGAGCAGCUUGUAUGUGGAAAAAACCCCGGGGCAAAGGGACGGAGCUUUUCCUCUGGUCUCAUUAGUUAUAUCUGUGCGAAUUUCUGUAGCAAAUAAACUAACAGCUAUACAGGCAAUAAUCUUAUUUACCUCGCGGUCAUGAUCCGUUCAUUUUCCCAUGCUAAAUGAGACAGUGGUCUGCUGGAAAAAAUAAGGCAACGUCUUUGAUAUUAUAACCAUAAGCAGACCAAUUUAGAAUUGCACAAGUAAUUCUAGUUCCAGUCUUUCUUACACAUGAAUGCUUGAUUUUUUUCCCAACCCCACACAUCCUUUAAUGUAACCGAAAGCAUUCAUUAAAUGAUUACCUGCACCCACCAGAGCAGCCCUUCACCUUGCUGGGUGCAAACACAAAGACAGCCCAUGUGUCACAAAGUUCAGGGCUUGGCACUGGCAGAGCCCCCACCCCGAUGCAGCAGCGUCCUUGUCACACUGUGUGAGAGAAGGGAUCUAACUGCACACAUAUGUUCAAGUCCUCUGAAAUUUGUUCCAAGCUGCUAAUUCAUCUGCAAAUUCAUGUUGUCAUCAAAGGCCGAUGAAGCCUGGUUGGAAGUAUCGUUGUGUGCACAGGCCAGGAAUUAUGUCAUUCCCGACUGCUACCCUUUAAAGCAAAAACAUCAUCUUCCAGAGGAAAACGGACCUGCUGAACACACUUCAGUGCUGGAUUUUGUUCAAGGUUCCAGCUUUUCUCUGAGCCUCCUCUAAUGUUUUGCCACCAGUGCAGUAUUAAAUUGAGUCGAUAUUGGUUUUGCAUCCCAAUAGAAGCUCUUCCAGUUAUAACCAAGAGCACUAUAUACUUUCUACCAUCUUCUAACAUCCAUCCUUCUCCAUCUUCAAGGCCAGGUUGGCUGGGGUCCUUGGCACCCUGAUCUCAUGCCUGAUCUAGUGGGUAGCAACUCUGCCUGCAGCAGGGAUUUGGAGCUGGAUGACCCUUGGCGUCCCUUCCAAGCUAAGCCGUUCUACGAUUCCACUAUUGGGUUAGGAGACGUGUCAAAGCCUUCUGAUUGAACCUCCAGCUCCAAGUAGGAUCAAUUGUGGAGUUACCCACAGACUUGCUGAGAGUGCCCUUCAACUCGUCACUGAGGUCACUGACAGAGGUGUUACUCAAUACCAUCAAGGGAAUCCUGGCCACCAACUGGAUCAGCUCAUUCUGAUCACAACCUUUGGGCCCAGUGGUCCAGCUGAUUCUCCCCAACUUACCUUCUGCUUACCUAGUUCAUACCCUAGCAAUGUGCUUAAUAGAGGCCUAGAGGUGAUUGUCUCAAAAGCGUUGGAAAAGUCAAAGUAAUUUAUAUGCAGUGCUCUCCUCAUCACCCUUCCCACUGCAUGAAGUUGUUGGGUUGGCAGGCAGAAUUUACAUUUUGUAAGCUGUUACUUCCUGUCCCCUGACACCUUCUUAAUCCUCCCACAGACUAAGGUCGGACUGGCUGGCCCCUUCUUUUGCAAAUCUAGCCCCUUGAAAACAGAGGCAACUUCUACCUUCUUCCAGUCACCAUGACCUUCCAAAAGUAUGCUGUGCUCCCCUGUUCUGCUAUGUAUGCCUUGUGGUUCCUACAGCUCCCCUUUGACCUCAUAUCCCAUCUCCAAACACUGUGAUUAUCGUCCUUCCAUUUACCCCUUCACCAACAUCUCCUCUCUCCAAGUAACGCUAACUUAAGUGGCACUAAAUGCUUUUAAAGAAUCCAGGAUCCAGCUCAACUUCUCCAAUGGGACUUUGGCUUCACUUGCAUUUCAUGCAUUGAUAGAUUGGCUUAAUUAAGAUGUUGCAGUGAAAAACAUAUCCUAGGCAAGUAGUGUGUAUGAAUUAGAACUAAAAGUAAGAUUGAUUGUUCUCUUAGAAAAAUUGAAGACAUCAACAAUUUUUUUCACCUCAAAUAAUAAACUUGUAAAUCCA